rnacentral:lncRNA from 1 species
UUAUGUUUUUUGAUUUUUUUAUACUAUUUUUUUGAAGAUUUUGUAGAUUGAGCCUUUGGGUUCAAAUUUGUAAAAAAUGAAAGAUUUGUAAGAUUGAAACUAAUUUUGGUUGAUUGAUAAUUUGAUUGAGAAUGAUUGACUUGGAGAUUAAAAUCGUGAAUUUGUGGAAUGAUUUGUUUAAUCUAAUGUAAUUUGUAAAUGAUUCAUUAAUGAAGAUUUACUUCUUGUUUUCAUUUGAUCUAAAUUUUAAUAUAAUAAUAUAAUCUAGUAAGAUAUUAUAUAUUAAUACUAUAAUUUUAAUAUAAUAAUAUAAUCUAAUAAGAAUAAAAUAAAUCUAAUAAAAAUAAUAUAUAUGUAAUCUUA